GGUGGCCGAAAAGGUGGGAAAAUGCAAGGACCCCGGGCAGUGGGUGUCUAUUCGACUGCCUGACAAACACCCCGACGCCGACGCCGCUCCGGCGCAAUUUUCCGCGGCUUUUCCGGCCGUGCCGACACGGGCUGUACGCUCAGCGGCGCCGGGGCCGGACGCGAGCCAGCCCGGCGCCGACAGGCAGCGGUGAAGACGCCUCUCUCUGACGGGGUCCUUGCCGCGGCCGCGUUUUUGGGUUUGGCCCUCGCAGCGACCCGUACCUUCCCGCCGCUCCUCUCGCUCCGUUCUCUCCCCCCGGCCCGGGGAAAUGGAGGAACCCCCCGAUGGCUUCGGCUCCCAACGGUCGCUCCCCGGCGCUGGGUCCAGAGCGGCCCGAGGAGGGGAUGCUCUGUGUGCCGGAACGAGGCAAUCCUCCCGUUGCAGCUGCUGACAGCACUGAAAACCUGUGUGCUUCGUGGUGUCAAUCGCCCAGCUGGCAACGAUUCCCUGGUGUUUGGUGCAUUAAGUCACACCCAGCUGUGUGGGAUGGCAGGGGCUGGUUCUGGGGUAACAAGGAAACACAAGGCCUAAACACCUCUGGCUUGUCUGUCCAAGGAUCUGCCUCAAUUGUGGCUCCCAUCCUUCUGAAGAACUCUUCAGCACAAGGCAGGGUUCCUGGACGAGGUGACCCAGGACAGCUUCAUGCUGGGCCCAGGCUACAACCGCCCCUACCAGCUGGAGCCCGCGGUGAGGGAGCCCAAGAGCAUCCAGCUGUACCAGCACCUCAGCCUCAAGAGCUGCAUCUGGACCUUCGACGCUUAUUACGACAUGACCGAGUUAAUUGAUGUCUGUGGGGGCUCUGUCACCGCUGACUUCCAGGUAAGGGACUCUGCCCAGUCCUUCCUGACAGUGCACGUCCCUCUCUCCGUGUCCUACAUCUGUGUGACGGCACCAAG